CUUUCCUUCAUUUCCUCCAGAGUGCAGACCACGCCAACCUUCUUCCUGCCAAGUCUCGAGCAAGAUGUGCCGUGUGGAGGGAAGUGUGGCCAGCGCGCCUGCAGGAGCAAAUGUCAGUCUGUGGUGCUGAGAACAAGCACCAUCGGAUGGGAGCGGGGCAUGUGCUAACGGCGAGAAACAGCUGACAGUGGGCGGCCGAAAGCAGGAGAAGAGAGAGGAUACCAACGCGGCUGAAAAGUCACGUACUGCUGUACAGAAAUCUGUGAAAAAUUCUAUGGACAUUAAAACAUUGUUAAAAACUGCA